CACCUUCUGCCAUGAGGGUAUUGAAUACUAUAUGCUUUAAUGUUAGAGGCUCACAAGAAUUCAGAAAUGACAUUAAGUUCUGCCUUCACCUUCAACGAUUAGGACCCAUUCAAUGCUUUCCUGCCAAGAUACCACCAGAGGAGUAGCCAACUGUGUCCAUCAGAGUGGGGAGCAGUCAAUGUGAAAAGAAUCUGCCUGGAUUUCUCAACUCGUAUUUAACUUGCAAUCACUGGUUAACUCUCACCAUCACUCUCAUCCCAUUGGCCAGGUACCUUUGCGCAGAGUGCCCUGAACAUCACAAGAACUUGGGUUCUAAUCCAAAUUCUACUAGGUCCUAGGAUCACAACUAAGGCCUUUCACUAGCUAUGUAACUUUAUAAAAAUCACUAAACCUCUCUGGGUCUUACCUGUAUGUAUAAUGUCACAUUUGCCGGAAGGUGCCGGGUCUGUCUUUCGAUGUCUCUUGUGACUCUCAAAUUGUCUUGCCAUGAAUCUGCUCUAGAUAGUCCCUAGUUAGACUGGUUGUGGGAAUUAAGUGGGAACAUAUUGGUGAUAUUCUCACUGUCGACUCCCUUUCCUUUCAAAGUGCCUCCGAAGACCUUGGUUAUAUAUAGACGUUGUUUAUACAUAUAAACAAACAUCUUGUCAGAGCCACGUGCAGGUGGAUUAAAAAAAGGAAAAUAUAGAAAGGCCUCUGGACAAGCCAUUUCACCAGUGCCCUGGUAGGUGAAUAAUAGAGGACCUUAAAGGUGUUCGAAUGGCAUGUGCAGGGACAUUCAUAACCACAUAAUCUCACAGCCAGAGACUGAAAACAACCUCAGUGUCCAUCAACUAAGAGUGGACAAUGAAAUUGUAAUACAUUAAUACAGCAGAAUACUAUUUGCCAGUGAAAACAAACUACUCAUACAUGCAACAAUGUGGAUCAAUCUCACAGAUAUUAGACUGUAUGAAAGAAAUCAGAUGCAAAAUGAUACCUGUCUGAUAGCAUUUAUAUGAAUAUAAAGAACAGGCAAAACUAAGUGACAGCAAUGGAAGUUGGAAAGUGGGUUACCUAGGUGUAGAAAGUCAUGGAUAUUGACUGGAAAGGGCAUGGGAUUACAGACAUGUUCCGUAUCUUCAUCUGAGUGAUGGGUACUCGAGAGUUUAC
rnacentral:lncRNA from 13 species